GCCACAUCGCUAACACAAGCCUUCCAGCAACUGAAGCCGAUACUGAUUGCUGAGAUGAGAGUGUUGAGAAAGGCUGACAUCACCUGCAACGGCAUUGGGAUCCCUGGCGGCUACUAAACUGCGUCAAUCCAAGGACCAGAUCUUAAUGAGGGGCUAGCCUAGUUGCCCGACCACAUCGCUAACACAAGCCUUCCAGCAACUGAAGCCGAUACUGAUUGCUGAGAUGAGAGUGUUGAGAAAUAUAUGCAUACGUAUGUUUAUAUGUAGAUAAAGUCUUUUCAUAUUCAUAUAUAUAUAUAUAUAUAUAUAUAUAUGAUUCUGAAUAUGCGUAGAGGAAUGGGAUUCUCGGAAAAGCUGCCAUCAUCGGACCAUCGUCCGAGGUUUUGUUGAGCUUGCCCGAUCUAAAUUAAGUUCCCGCGUGGGCCCUGAUCGCCGAAAUCAGUCAUGUGCCAGAUUCGUGUUGUUUGUUAAUUGAAUUCAGAUGAGAGUUUGGAUGUCUUGGUUUGUACUUAA